AUUGAACGCUGGCGGCAGGCCUAACACAUGCAAGUCGAACGAGUGGCGGACGGGUGAGUAAUGUCUGGGAAACUGCCCGAUGUAGGGGGAUAACUACUGGAAACGGUGGCUAAUACCGCAUACCAUCGGAUAGGCGCAGAUGGGGUUGGCUUGUAGGGGAGGUAACGGCUCACCUAGGCGACGAUCCCCAGCUGGGCUGAGAGGAUGACCAGUCACACUGGAACUGAUACACGGUCCAGACUCCUACGGGAGGCAGCAGUGGGGAAUAUUGCACAAUGGGCGAAAGCCUGAUGCAGCCAUGCCGCGUGUAUGAAGAAGGCCUUCGGGUUGUAAAGUACUUUCAGCGGGGAGGCGUUACCCGCAGAAGAAGCACCGGCUAACUCCGUGCCAGCAGCCGCGGUAAUUC
rnacentral:rRNA from 1 species